rnacentral:rRNA from 1 species
CCUACGGGAGGCAGCAGUAGGGAAUCUUGCUCAAUGGGGGAAACCCUGAAGCAGCAACGCCGCGUGGAGGAUGAAGGUUUUCGGAUUGUAAACUCCUUUUGUUAGAGAAGAUAAUGACGGUAUCUAACGAAUAAGCACCGGCUAACUCCGUGCCAGCAGCCGCGGUAAUACGGCGGGUGCAAGCGUUCCUCGGAAUCACUGGGCGUAAAGAGCGCGUAGGCGGGAUAGCAAGUCAGAUGUGAAAUCCUAUGGCUUAACCAUAGCACUGCAUUUGAAACUGUUAUUCUAGAGUAUGGAAGAGGUAGGUGGAAUUCUUGGUGUAGGGGUAAAAUGCGUAGAGAUCAAGAGGAAUACUCAUUGCGAAGGCGACCUGCUAGAACAUAACUGACGCUGAUGCGCGAAAGCGUGGGGAGCAAACAGGAUUAGAUACCCGAGUAGUC